CAAAAAAUAGUUUAAUAAAAAAAUAAUAAUUUUGGGAAUUAUAGAUAAUUAUAUAAAUUUUUUUUGA
rnacentral:tRNA from 1 species